AACCCAUGAUGUGGGCAGAUAUUUAUUAGAUCCUUGAACCUCUCCCAAUAAGCCUGGAAGGUCUCAUCACCCUUUUGCAUAAAUUGACAAAUCUGCUCUUAUAGGU